UUUCUGGUGGAUCAAAUUUUUGGAAUCAAAUAUUUCAUUAUCUUCCCAAAAUACCCUUCUUUUAUUUUCCCUUUUUUUAUUCCUCAAAAUAUAAAUAUUUGAAUUAUUUUCUUUUUUCUUAUUUAUUAAUUUUUCUUCCCAAAUGACCAAACCCUAGAACACAAAAAAAAGAAUAAUUCCAUUUUCCCAAAUCCAAGAAAAACGAAAAAUUCCUUCGAUCAAUAACUUCACAAGCUAAAUAAUUGCAUCAAUUUCAAGAAAAGGGUGAUUAUUGGUUGUGGUGUUGAAUUAUAGAGUCAUGAGGUUUAAAAAAGGAAGUAAAGUCGAGGUGAUGAACAAGAAGGAUUCACCAGUAUCUUGGUGUCCUGCAGAGAUUGUCUCGGGUAAUGGACAUACGUACUCUGUAAGAUAUGAUUAUUAUCUGUCUGCGGAAAGCAAAGCGAGGGGUGAGAGGGUCUCGAGGAGGGAUAUCAGACCAUGUCCUCCUCCUUCGGAGGGUGUGGAGAAUGGGCAGCGUGGUCAAAUCAUUGAGGUGUUUGGUGACUGUUCUUGGAGAACUGCGAUUAUUGUGAAGGUUUUGGAUAGAGACUAUUAUUUGGUACAUCCGACUGGAUGUUCUCAGGAGAUUAGGGUUCAUAGAUCAAACACCAGAGUGCGACAAUGUUGGCAAGACGAGAAAUGGCACUUGAUUGGAAAGGGAUCUGGAACAUAUGCGAAACCUGACCAGCUUCCAACUCAGAAGCCUUCUAAAAAGGUGAGCGUGGUCUUAAGUGCUAGGAAUGGAUUCCAUGUUAGAGAUGGAGAUUUGGCUGCACAGAGAAGCUUUAAAAGGCAGAAGUAUAAUGCCAGCUCUUUGGUGUCGCUGAAGAGGGUGUCAGACGAAUCAUCUAGAAACAUUCAGGUGGUAGUGGCAGAUGACAGAGAUUUUAAGAGAAGGAAAAUAGUUCCGGCUGCCUUGGAGGGAAAGACACAUGAUAUUGCCAGGUGGAAAGGAAAUAGGAUAGAUGAAAAGUACGUGAGUGCUUCAUUUAACAAUUGGUCUGAUGGAUAUUUUGGAUUGAACCCUACAAAAAGACGUGGUAUCAAUGACUAUUACCCUGCAAGAAUUGGGGAAUCUAAUGAUUCUGAUAGUGAUGCAUGCUCCAUCGGUAGUUGUAGUAUUAAUCGUGACAGUCCAAAUAAAAUUUCUAGUUUUUCAGCUGAAGUUCAUUGUCAAGUACCUGAUCUUCUGUGCAGUGAUGCAGAGUCUUUUCAAAGUUCCGCAGAACAACAUGAGGAGGAAAGCUGCCGUCUUUCCUCGAAGCAGAAUGUAGCAGCAAAUAUUCGUGAGUUGGAGUUGCAUGCUUAUCGUUGCACUUUGGAGGCAUUGUAUGCUUCUGGUCCGUUGAGUUGGGAACAAGAAGCAUUAUUGACAAAUCUCCGCAUUGCACUCCAUAUUUCAAAUGAUGAACAUUUGACAGAGCUGAGGACUUUAAUUUCUUCUGGAACUGGGCGACAUUUGGAUGCAUGCAUCCUUUGCCUCCUAAAGUCCAAAGAUGAUGCUUGCAUUUGCAGCACCUCUCCUGGCCAUAGAGAGGACUCAUGCAACGUCUAUCUCAGAUAAGACAAUUCAUGGCUUGUUAUAUUACUGUUUUACAGCUUCAUGAUUUGUUUUGUCUGGUUAACUUCGACAUCUUUAGCCUGGUUUUGCCAAAAGGUAGUGAAUUUGUAAGAUAAUCAAAACUAUUCUGUAUGAUCUUAUGAUAUAUGUCUCUGUAUUGCAAGCUAUCAGAUUGAAGUUGUGCUUCUUUUCCCCCUAGUCAAUGAACGAACUUCCUGUGCAUACAGAGAAAAGUAUGUAUGGUCUUUCUAUAGACAUUAGUUAGGGAGAUAUCUAUUUUUUGUUGGCUAGUAUGGAGAGUUUUUACCGAAUGGAAGGCGGUUAAAAUUAAUGUCCAUGGCCAUAAUGCAACUAGCAGUGUUCGUAGCCUUUGUACUAACAGGGAUUAAUCUACACUGCAUAUGCAAAAACGUAUGCUUUGUGCUGGCAAUACAUUUUAGCAUUACUUCUGCCUGUAAAUGUAUAUUUGGAAAAUAUUUAGUAUAGCAAGGGUAAAAGUAAACGUGCUGUUUCCGGAUACAGUUCUUUUAGAUAUUUUAUUUUCUUAUCCCCGUAUUGAUUCAAAAGCUUGAAGCAAGGCAUUACUUGUUAUACUUCUAUGAUGUGAAGGACUAGUUAUUAUGAUCAAAUAUAAUGGAGAUUGUUAAUGACCAAAAGUUGCUGCUCAUCAUCUGAACUUUCUUGAAGAGGUUUCUGCUCGACUUAGGGUGUGUUUGGUACGACUGGAAAUAUUUUUCAGAGAGCAUUCUCAAGAAAUUAGUCAAUUUUUAGUACAGAUGAUGAUCCUUAUAAUGUUAAAAAGGAAGGCAAUUUUUGUUUUUUGAUGUCUUCCCAUUAUCUCAACUCUUAAACUUUAUGUUUCUUCUUUAACUAAUAUCUAGAUGUUAUUAUCAAUUUUUAAUAUACUCAAGUUUCAUCAAAACACUAUCCAAUUUGGUAAUAUUAUUAACAAUCUUUAAUAUUUUUCACUGAAUACCGGAUAACAUUUUUCAAGAAAAUAUUGUCUAUUGUCCAGAAAAGAAAGUCAUUUUUUGUGAAUUAUUUUCUGGAAACUGACUUCUGUCAUUACCAAACACACCCUUAACGUGAUUCUCGCAUUAUAUUAUCUCUUCUUGACGUGAUUUUUGCUUCUUUGGUCGAUGAGGUUACCAUGGCAGUCAGUCUGUCCAGGGAGGUUGAAAGUCAUGUUUCUGUCUCUGCAUGGACUAAAGUACAUGGUUCGUCUGGAUGAGAGAUUCUGUGACAGGUUUUUAUAGUUCUGGUGAAAGAGUUUCCUUGCCGGUUCUGUCACUUGUUUGCUAUCAAGUGUUGCAGUUGCUGAUGCAGAGUUACAAAUUCCUCCAAUUUUCAUGGCUCAUACUUGAGGUAUCAGUUCAGUUGUAGCACGCAUACCAUAUUCAAAAAGUUUGCAACUUCCAAUCAGCAGGUGAUGAGUCCUCUUGAUUCAAGGGCUCGAGUCAGUCAUAUAGUUUGAGCAGUAUUUUAUUUUUAUUUAUUCAGUCGUAUUGAUUUGGGAUAGCUGGGGGUCAUGUCUCGACUACCUAUAGUCAAUACUAGUAGAGGCUUCAUAGACAGUCAGUAGAGUUAAUGUAUUGAUUCCAGUGUUAUUUUGUAAAAUAAGAGUUAUAAUUAUUUUUAAUUUAGUUCUGUAUUUUGUAAAAUGAUCAUUCUUCAAUUACCACUGGAUAUUUAUUGUAAUGCAAAACAUAGUCUUGAGUAUGUUUUAGAUACCCCAAAACUCUUUUCACUGCCAUUCAAU